rnacentral:lncRNA from 1 species
CCAGCUCAGGGUGGACGAAACUUCAGAGACCGUGAAGCUGAUGUCAACUGGGGAAGCAGCAGAAAUCCAAACAAGUAUUCAGAUUCGCAACAAGCUAGUCGAUCUGGAACCGGAUUUGAUGAUUUCGAUGAUGAAGAUGAUAUCGACAGUUAUGAGUUGGAUUCUCAACCCAGGACGAACAGUUCUUCGAGACAAGUGUAUGAGUUGGAAGGCACUGACUUUCCUGAUGAUGAUGACUUGCCUACUCGUCCGAGUUCAAGUCCCCGUUCAGGUUCUAGACCAUCGCGACGAAAGAAGCCUUUCUCUGAUGACGACGAGCUUGGUCUGGAUUCAGAU